UGGGGAAUUUUGGACAAUGGACGCAAGUCUGAUCCAGCCAUGCCGCGUGCGGGAAGAAGGCCUUCGGGUUGUAAACCGCUCUUGUCAGGGAAGAAACGCUCUGAGCUAAUACCUCGGAGGAAUGACGGUACCUGAAGAAUAAGCACCGGCUAACUACGUGCCAGCAGCCGCGGUAAUACGUAGGGUGCAAGCGUUAAUCGGAAUUACUGGGCGUAAAGCGUGCGCAGGCGGUGAUGUAAGACAGAUGUGAAAUCCCCGGGCUCAACCUGGGAACUGCAUUUGUGACUGCAUCGCUGGAGUGCGGCAGAGGGGGAUGGAAUUCCGCGUGUAGCAGUGAAAUGCGUAGAUAUGCGGAGGAAUACCGAUGGCGAAGGCAAUCCCCUGGGCCUGCACUGACGCUCAUGCACGAAAGCGUGGGGAGCAAACA
rnacentral:rRNA from 1 species